GUCUUUACUGACGCUGAGGCACGAAAGCGUGGGGAGCAAACAGGAUUAGAUACCCUGGUAGUCCACGCCGUAAACGAUGAGUACUAAAUGUUGGGUAAAACCAGUGUUGAAGUUAACACAUUAAGUACUCCGCCUGAGUAGUACGUACGCAAGUAUGAAACUUAAAGGGAUUGACGGGACUCCGCACAAGCGGUGGAUCAUGUUGUUUAAUUCGAAGGUACCCGAAAAACCUCACCAGGUCUUGACAUGCUUCUGCAAAGCUGUAGAAGCACAGUGGAGGUUAUCAGUUGCACAGGUGGUGCAUGGUUGUCGUCAGCUCGUGUCGUGAGGUGUUGGGUUAAGUCCCGCAACGAGCGCAACCCUUAUUGUUAGUUGCCGGCACGUAAUGGUGGGGACUUUAGCAAGACUGCCAGUGAUAAAUUGGAGGAAGGUGGGGACGACGU
rnacentral:rRNA from 1 species